rfam:Triticum aestivum genome assembly, contig: Triticum_aestivum_CS42_TGACv1_scaffold_033968_1BL
AAUAUAUUUCCUCCGUUCCGAAUUAGUUGACUCAGAUUUGUCUAGAUACGGAUAUAUCUAACACGUUUUAGUGUUAGAUACAUCCAUACUUAGAUAAAUUCGAGUCAACUAAUUUGAAACGGAGGGAGUAGUUG